rnacentral:rRNA from 1 species
AUUGAACGCUGGCGGAAUGCUUUACACAUGCAAGUCGAACGGCAGCACGGACUUCGGUCUGGUGGCGAGUGGCGAACGGGUGAGUAAUGUAUCGGAACGUGCCCAGUCGUGGGGGAUAACGUAGUGAAAAUUAUGCUAAUACCGCAUACGAUCGAUGGAUGAAAGCGGGGGAUCGCAAGACCUCGCGCGAUUGGAGCGGCCGGUAUCAGAUUAGGUAGUUGGUGGGGGAAUGGCCCACCAAGCCACCGAACUGUAGCUGGUCUGAGAGGACGACCAGCCACACUGGAACUGAGACACGGUCCAGACUCCUACGGGAGGCAGCAGUGGGGAAUUUUGGACAAUGGGCGAAAGCCUGAUCCAGCCAUUCCGCGUGCAGGAUGAAGGCCCUCGGGUUGUAAACUGCUUUUGUACAGAACGAAAAGGUUUCUACUAAUACUAGGAGCUCAUGACGGUACUGUAAGAAUAAGCACCGGCUAACUACGUGCCAGCCGCCGCCGUAA